rnacentral:hammerhead_ribozyme from 1 species
CAAUUGAUGAGGAGUCUCAAAAUAGGACGAAACAGCUGUCCAGUGC